GUAGUUGAUCCUGGCUCAGAACGAACGCUGGCGGCAUGCCUAACACAUGCAAGUCGAACGAGAUCUUCGGAUCUAGUGGCGCACGGGUGCGUAACGCGUGGGAAUCUGCCCUUGGGUGCGGAAUAACUUCUCGAAAGGGAUGCUAAUACCGCAUAAUGUCGUAAGACCAAAGAUUUAUCGCCCAAGGAUGAGCCCGCGUAAGAUUAGCUAGUUGGUGGGGUAAAAGCUACCAAGGCGACGAUCUUUAGCUGGUCUGAGAGGAUGAUCAGCCACACUGGGACUGAGACACGGCCCCAGACUCCUACGGGAGGCAGCAGUGGGGGAAUAUUGGACAAUGGGCGAAAGCCUGAUCCAGCAAUGCCGCGUGAGUGAUGAAGGCCCUAGGGUUGUAAAGCUCUUUUACCCGGG
rnacentral:rRNA from 1 species